GGAACUGAGACACGGUCCAGACUCCUACGGGAGGCAGCAGUGGGGAAUAUUGCACAAUGGGCGCAAGCCUGAUGCAGCCAUGCCGCGUGUAUGAAGAAGGCCUUCGGGUUGUAAAGUACUUUCAGCGGGGAGGAAGGCGAUAAGGUUAAUAACCUUGUCGAUUGACGUUACCCGCAGAAGAAGCACCGGCUAACUCCGUGCCAGCAGCCGCGGUAAUACGGAGGGUGCAAGCGUUAAUCGGAAUUACUGGGCGUAAAGCGCACGCAGGCGGUCUGUCAAGUCAGAUGUGAAAUCCCCGGGCUUAACCUGGGAACUGCAUUUGAAACUGGCAGGCUAGAGUCUUGUAGAGGGGGGUAGAAUUCCAGGUGUAGCGGUGAAAUGCGUAGAGAUC
rnacentral:rRNA from 1 species